rnacentral:rRNA from 1 species
CACGGGGGGAGCAAGCGUUGUUCGGAAUCACUGGGCGUAAAGGGCGUGUAGGCGGCCGGAUAAGUCGGGUGUGAAAGCCCGGGGCUCAACCCCGGGAUGCCGCCCGAGACUGCUCGGCUUGAGGACGGAAGAGGGGCGUGGAAUUCCUGGUGUAGCGGUGAAAUGCGUAGAGAUCAGGAGGAACACCCGUGGCGAGGGCGGCGCCCUGGUCCGUUACUGACGCUGAGACGCGAAAGCGCGGGGAGCGAACGGG